rnacentral:rRNA from 1 species
AUACGGAGGGUGCGAGCGUUAAUCGGAAUUACUGGGCGUAAAGCGCGCGUAGGCGGCUAGGUCAGUCGGAUGUGAAAGCCCCGGGCUUAACCUGGGAAUUGCAUUCGAUACUGCCUGGCUAGAGUAUGGGAGAGGGAAGCGGAAUUUCCGGUGUAGCGGUGAAAUGCGUAGAUAUCGGAAGGAACACCAGUGGCGAAGGCGACUUCCUGGGCCAAUACUGACGCUGAGGUGCGAAAGCGUGGGGAGCAAACAGGAUUAGAAACCCGGGUAGUCC